UCAGUUCUCAAAAGCUGAGUCACCGUCAGGGGUCUGGGCAGCCAGCACUGCCACCUCUCAGAGCACACUGAGGCCUCUUGUCCUGGCAUGUUGGUGUUCUCACUUACAGCCAGCUGCAUGCCUCCCUGUUGUGACUUCUGCAGAAAGCGAGGCUGGUCCUUGUUCUCUGCCUCUGGCAGUAGGAAUGCACAGAUUCCCAAAACCUCACAACAGCGCAGCAGAGUCCAGUUACCUCAUCUAUAAAUGUAGCGGCCAAAACAUCACUCUCACUCAUGUACUUCAUAAGGGAAACUUUCUGAAAGAUGGCGGCUGAGGAACUGCAGAGUUGAGAGGUAGCCGUAGGUCUGCAGCACCAGAUUCCUGCGACACUGCAGCAGCCAGGGAGAAGAGAAGAAACAACAGAGAGCCCUGCCUCCCCUGGCUUCAGGGUGACACCAGGACUCUGUGGAAUGACUUUUUUUUAGUUUAGUACAAACUCAGGACUGCCCCUGGGUGAAAAAUACCUUUCUUCUCAGAUUAACCCAAGCUGUAACCACCCCACAACGUGAAGAGUGCUGUCUCCUUAGCUGUGGCUGAAGAGCUCCUCGUGGAUGCAGGGAGCUGAUCUAUUCCAAAAGGUUCACCUGACUGAAGGUACUUUUGUCGCCGUGGGAACUGACUGUCUAGACCUACACACUAACAUCCCAGCCUGACCAAAAAAGUGUGCAUAUGCGUGCGCAUGCAUGUGCGUGCAUGCGUGCGUGGGUGCGUGCGGUAUUGCUGGCGGCUCCCCUGAGAUGUGGAGGGCUGACUCCUACACCCAGUAGCCAUCACUAUGGGUAAAUCAGCCAAAUUGCAACCCUCUGGGCGCAACGGAAAAGGUUUCCGACCUGCGUCCCUCCUGCCUACCCCCCACCCCCUCCCCAAGUCUCCACCUAGGUCUUUGCAUCUGCUGAUCCACCCGCAAGCUUGCAGGAAUAUAGGGGACACACCGGCUCUCUAGAACUGAAACCGAGUUGGCAAGAUCAAAGCGGAGGAGCUGAGGUGACAACCUUUGAGUUUGGCUUGUUUCCUAGAUCGCCUAUGACCUCCAACCUUCAGCCCCACAACGAGAAGAGAAGCAGAAAGUGAAACUACUGUUGCUCUAGCAGAGAACAGCAGCCGCAGAAGAACUGUGCAGAUGAAAGCCGAGCUUGCCCGCUCGUUCUUCCUGUCUCGUUAUUGCUCAUAUAUAGCUUUUAAGGAAAUAAAAGUAAUUUUGGUGACA